rnacentral:rRNA from 1 species
UACGGAGGGAGCUAGCGUUGUUCGGAAUUACUGGGCGUAAAGCGCACGUAGGCGGCUUUGUAAGUUAGAGGUGAAAGCCCGGGGCUCAACCCCGGAAUUGCCUUUAAGACUGCAUCGCUUGAAUCCGGGAGAGGUGAGUGGAAUUCCGAGUGUAGAGGUGAAAUUCGUAGAUAUUCGGAAGAACACCAGUGGGCGAAGGCGGCUCACUGGACCGGUAUUGACG